AUCAGGAGGAACACCAGUGGCGAAGGCGGUUCUCUGGGCCUUUCCUGACGCUGAGGAGCGAAAGCGUGGGGAGCGAACAGGCUUAGAUACCCUGGUAGUCCACGCUGUAAACGGUGGGUACUAGGUGUGGGGUCCAUUCCACGGGUUCCGUGCCGUAGCUAACGCUUUAAGUACCCCGCCUGGGGAGUACGGCCGCAAGGCUAAAACUCAAAGGAAUUGACGGGGCCCCGCACAAGCGGCGGAGCAUGCGGAUUAAUUCGAUGCAACGCGUAGAACCUUACCUGGGUUUGACAUGGAUCGGGAGUGCUCAGAGAUGGGUGUGCCUCUUUUGGGGUCGGUUCACAGGUGGUGCAUGGCUGUCGUCAGCUCGUGUCGUGAGAUGUUGGGUUAAGUCCCGCAACGAGCGCAACCCUUGUUCACUGUUGCCAGCACGUUAUGGUGGGGACUCAGUGGAGACCGCCGGGGUCAACUCGGAGGAAGGUGGGGAUGACGUCAAGUCAUCAUGCCCCUUAUGUCCAGGGCUUCACGCAUGCUACAAUGGCUGGUACAGAGAGUGGCGAGCCUGUGAGGGUGAGCGAAUCUCGGAAAGCCGGUCUCAGUUCGGAUUGGGGUCUGCAACUCGACCUCAUGAAGUCGGAGUCGCUAGUAAUCGCAGAUCAGCAACGCUGCGGUGAAUACGUUCCCGGGGCUUGUACACACCGCCCGUCAAGUCAUGAAAGUUGGUAACACCCGAAGCCGGUGGCCUAACCGUUGUGGGGGAGCCGUCGAAGGUGGGACUGGUAGAUCGGAAGAGCGUCGUGUAGGGAAAGAG
rnacentral:rRNA from 1 species